rnacentral:rRNA from 1 species
UACGGAGGAUGCAAGCGUUAUCCGGAUUUAUUGGGUUUAAAGGGUGCGUAGGUGGAAUUAUAAGUCAGAGGUGAAAGCUGGCAGCUUAACUGUUAAAUUGCCUUUGAUACUGUUAUACUUGAGUGUAGUUGGAGUUGGCGGAAUGUGACAUGUAGCGGUGAAAUGCGUAGAUAUGUCACAGAACACCGAUCGCGAAGGCAGCUAACUAAACUAUUACUGACACUGAUGCACGAAAGCGUGGGGAGCAAACAGG